UCUUAACAAUUUCAUCCAUUUGUACUGUUAAAAACUGGCCUCCUUGAUGGAAUAAUCAAACAAUGACACAUGGCAUGUCAUGUACACCUCAUGCUGAUAUAUAGGGACCGAUUUUAAACAGUAGAAAUGGAUGAAAUUUUUAAUA
rfam:Gossypium hirsutum cultivar TM-1 chromosome 9, whole genome shotgun sequence